rnacentral:rRNA from 1 species
AGAAUCAACGCUGGCGGCGUGCCUAACACAUGCAAGUCGCACGAGAAAGGGACUUCGGUCUUGAGUAAAGUGGCGCACGGGUGAGUAACACGUGACUAAUCUACCCUCGAGUGGGGAAUAACUGAGAGAAAUCUUAGCUAAUACCGCAUAACACUUACGAGUCAAAGCAGCAAUGCGCUUGGGGAGGAGGUCGCGGCCGAUUAGCUAGUUGGCGGGGUAAUGGCCCACCAAGGCGAUGAUCGGUA